AGUGAACGCUGGCGGUAGGCCUAGCACAUGCAAGUCGAACGGCAGCACAGUAAGAGCUUGCUCUUACGGGUGGCGAGUGGCGGACGGGUGAGGAAUACAUCGGAAUCUACUUUUUCGUGGGGGAUAACGUAGGGAAACUUACGCUAAUACCGCAUACGACCUACGGGUGAAAGCAGGGGAUCUUCGGACCUUGCGCGAUUGAAUGAGCCGAUGUCGGAUUAGCUAGUUGGCGGGGUAAAGGCCCACCAAGACGACGAUCCGUAGCUGGUCUGAGAGGAUGAUCAGCCACACUGGAACUGAGACACGGUCCAGACUCCUACGGGAGGCAGCAGUGGGGAAUAUUGGACAAUGGGCGCAAGCCUGAUCCAGCCAUACCGCGUGGGUGAAGAAGGCCUUCGGGUUGUAAAGCCCUUUUGUUGGGAAAGAAAAGCAGCAGGUUAAUACCCCGCUGUUCUGACGGUACCCAAAGAAUAAGCACCGGCUAACUUCGUG
rnacentral:rRNA from 1 species